rnacentral:tRNA from 1 species
CCUGUAGCUCAGCUGGUUAGAGCACACGCCUGAUAAGCGUGAGGUCAGCGGUUCAAGUCCGCUUACAAGGGCCA